rnacentral:tRNA from 1 species
UGGGCUCCGGCCAGGACGGGAAUGGGGCGGACUUUUAAUCCGCAUGCCGAGCGCGUGCGCUCGACCGAGUUCGACUCUCGGGGAGCUCAU